rnacentral:lncRNA from 1 species
UCAGGCAUCAGCUAUGAAAGGUACCAUAUGCAAUUUUCAUUGUUUUCUUCACACAUGACAGUGCAAACAAUUUUUUCCUUUCUCCAUUUUUUUUCCAAUAUGUCCCUAUUUACUGAAUUGCAGAUAUCAAAAGGCGCAUGGAGAAGGAUGUUAAUGAACUGACAAAGGUUGCCCGGCUCACAAAAUCAAAACUACAACAAUUGAAUAAAGAGGUGAGUUAAUUUGCGUUACUGUAACUUGCAUGAUGCAUAUGCUUUGACAGCGGUAGUAGAUGACAACACGUUUGAGUUCUAAGGAUCUUCACCUUUAUUUGUCACUGACUUAAUGGAGACAUGUCUCUACUGGCACCCGAUAUUUCUACUAUUGAAGGGGAAAUGUGCUGUCGUCGUGAUGGUUACCCUCCCACCCUUGACAAAUUUUAAAUAAUAAUAGCAGCAGUUGGUAUCUCUAUAAUAAAUUUUAGACCAUGUAAUAUAUUGUUCUAUUUGCAUCUAUGUAAUAUAUUCAUCUCUAUUCAACUCUAGCUUUCUGAAGUUUUGUCUAGCUCUUCUGAUCCCGACCAAUUAGUUUAGGCUAUAACUAAUUCGUGGACCCUAUCAUGGAUAAACAGCUAGAGCUGAAGUUUGGGGAGUUGUUCUAAAAUAACUUCAGAAUUUUAUAAUAAAGUUUUGGCUAGAGCUCGUGGGCUUUUGAACAUCAACUUUUGUUUCCUUCAUUGAGUUCCGUCUAUUUCAAGAUGCUGCUUGGAAAAAAGAGAAGAAAAGCAAAGGAAAAGCUCUUCCAACAACCGUGGAUAUGAAAAUGAGAGAAAUAUAAAUAUACCUUUGCCGUAUAUGUUAGUUUUGCAAAGGCCUUCAUUGUAAGGCAAGCACAGAUUAUGUGCUCCUUUUUUAUUUAAUUUUACAUAAGCAACACUUCCAUUUCAUGCAGAAAAGUUGUUUAAUAAAUUUUCUAGAAACAAAAAAGUUCAUGUUUUA